UGCGUGAAGUUGGAAUUGCUAGUAAUCGCGGAUCAGCAUGCCGCGGUGAAUACGUUCCCGGGCCUUGUACACACCGCCCGUCACACCAUGGGAGCCGGUAGUGCCCGAAGUCAGUAGCCUAACCGCAAGGAGGGCGCUGCCGAAGGUAGGAUUGGCGACUGGGGUGAAGUCGUAACAAGGUAAC
rnacentral:rRNA from 1 species